GAUGAACGCUGGCGGCGUGCCUAAUACAUGCAAGUCGAGCGAACGGACGAGAAGCUUGCUUCUCUGAUGUUAGCGGCGGACGGGUGAGUAACACGUGGAUAACCUACCUAUAAGACUGGGAUAACUUCGGGAAACCGGAGCUAAUACCGGAUGAUAUUUUGAACCGCAUGGUUCAAAAGUGAAAGACGGUCUUGCUGUCACUUAUAGAUGGAUCCGCGCUGCAUUAGCUAGUUGGUAAGGCAACGGCUUACCAAGGCAACGAUGCAUAGCCGACCUGAGAGGGUGAUCGGCCACACUGGAACUGAGACACGGUCCAGACUCCUACGGGAGGCAGCAGUAGGGAAUCUUCCGCAAUGAGCGAAAGCCUGACGGAGCAACGCCGCGUGAGUGAUGAAGGUCUUCGGAUCGUAAAACUCUGUUAUUAGGGAAGAACAUAUGUGUAAGUAACUGUGCACAUCUUGACGGUACCUAAUCAGAAAGCCACGGCUAACUACGUG
rnacentral:rRNA from 1 species